GCCGUCAUAGCUCAGCAGGUAGAGCACAUCCAUGGUAAGGAUGGGGUCGCAGGUUCAAGUCCUGUUGUCGGCACCA
rnacentral:tRNA from 6 species